UGCCGACAACGUCGCGAGAAGUCCACUGAACCUUAUCAUUUAGAGGAAGGAGAAGUCGUAACAAGGUUUCCGUAGGUGAACCUGCGGAAGGAUCAUUGUCGAAAUCGAACGUAAGAACGACCAGCGAAUCGUCAACGCGUCCUGGACGGGUCUCGCGAUCGCCGAACGUUCGGCGCUCGCGGUUCCCGUGCCGUGUCGGCGGGGCGCCUCCACGAGGGCCGCGCUGUCCCGGCGAACAAACAACGUCAGCACGGAUUGUGCCAAGGAGCUUAUUGGAGAGAACCGUCGUCCCCCGCCCUCGGUCGUCCCUGACGGCCGGGCGUGGGACACGGGCGGUCUCUGUUCCGAGUCUGAAUGACUCUCGGCAACGGAUAUCUCGGCUCUUGCAUCGAUGAAGAACGUAGCGAAAUGCGAUACUUGGUGUGAAUUGCAGAAUCCCGCGAACCAUCAAUUCUUUGAACGCAAGUUGCGCCCGAAGCCAUUCGGCCGAGGGCACGCCUGCCUGGGUGUCGUGAAUACCCCUGCCCUUGGGCACCCGCACGAGCAUCGGCGGGGAUAUAUGCCGGGCGCAGAAUAUGGUCUCCCGUUGGUUCGGCGUGGGCGUCGUUCCCUAGUACGGCUGGCCGAAAACAAGCAUUGUGGCGACGGGCUCCACGGCGUUCGGUGGAUCGGUAGCGAUUGGCUGCGCCGUGGGCUCGGCAUGCGUCGCUCUUCGGACUACCGCGAGAAUUCCCUAGU
rnacentral:rRNA from 1 species